rnacentral:rRNA from 1 species
UACGUAGGGGGCGAGCGUUGUCCGGAUUCAUUGGGCGUAAAGCGCUUUAAGGCGGUUCGGUAAGUCGGGUGUGAAACCUCCAGGCUCAACCUGGAGACGCCACUCGAUACUGCUGUGACUAGAGUCCGGUAGGGGACCACGGAAUUCCUGGUGUAGCGGUGAAAUGCGCAGAUAUCAGGAGGAACACCAGUGGCGAAGGCGGUGGUCUGGGCCGGAACUGACGCUGUAGAGCGAAAGCGUGGGGAGCGAACAGG